rnacentral:rRNA from 1 species
CCUACGGGGGGCAGCAGUGGGGAAUUUUGCGCAAUGCUCGUAAGAGUGACGCAGCGACGCCGCGUGAAUGACGAAGGCCUUCGGGUCGUAAAGUUCUUUCGACAGGGAAGAAAAUGCCUAUAAGUAACUGUGUAUGUAUUGACGGUACCUGUAUAAGCAGCCCCGGCUAACUCCGUGCCAGCAGCCGCGGUAAUACGGAGGGGGCGAGCGUUGUUCGGAGUGACUGGGCGUAAAGAGCACGUAGGCGGUGUUGUAAGUCAUUAGUCAAAGACUAGAGCUCAACUUUAGUAAGGCUAGUGAUACUA